rnacentral:rRNA from 1 species
UUUUAAAUGGCCGCAGUAUUUUGACUGUGCAAAGGUAGCAUAAUCAUUAGUUUUUUAAUUAAAAGCUUGUAUGAAAGGCUGGACGAGGUAAAAUCUGUCUCUAUUUAAAUUAUAGUAGAAUUUAACUUUUAAGUUAAAAGGCUUAAAUAUUAUUAAAAGACGAGAAGACCCUAUAGAUCUUUAUAAUUUGUUAAAUUAAAUUAAUUUAGAAAUAUUAACGUUUUAUUUAAUUAAAUUAUUUUAUUGGGGUAAUAAAAAGAUUGAAUUAAUUCUUUUUUAAAAUAAACAUUAAUUUAUGAAUAUUAAUGAUCCAGUUUUACUGAUUAUAAGAUUAAGUUACCUUAGGGAUAACAGCGUAAUUUUUUUAGAGAGUUCAUAUCGAUAAAAAAGUUUGCGACCUCGAUGUUGGAUUAAAGAUUAUUUUAGGUGUAGAAGCUUAAUAAUUUUGGUCUGUUCGACCAUUAAAUCUUUACAUGAUCUGAGUUCAGACCGGCGUAAGCCAGGUCGGUUUCUAUCUUUAAUAAAACAAAAUAUUUUAGUACGAAAGGACCAAAUAUUUGAUAUAUUUAUAUUUAAUUUAUUGAAUAUUA